CCUCGGGCGGCAGCAGUGGGGAAUAUUGGACAAUGGGCGAAAGCCUGAUCCAGCCAUGCCGCGUGUGUGAAGAAGGCCUUCGGGUUGUAAAGCACUUUCAGUGGGGAAGAAAGCCUUGGGGCUAAUACCCUCGAGGAAGGACAUCACCCACAGAAGAAGCACCGGCUAACUCCGUGCCAGCAGCCGCGGUAAUACGGAGGGUGCGAGCGUUAAUCGGAAUUACUGGGCGUAAAGCGCGCGUAGGCGGUCUGAUAAGCCGGUUGUGAAAGCCCCGGGCUCAACCUGGGAACGGCAUCCGGAACUGUCAGGCUAGAGUGCAGGAGAGGAAGGUAGAAUUCCCGGUGUAGCGGUGAAAUGCGUAGAGAUCGGGAGGAAUACCAGUGGCGAAGGCGGCCUUCUGGACUGACACUGACGCUGAGGUGCGAAAGCGUGGGUAGCAAACAGGAUUAGAUACCCUGGUAGUC
rnacentral:rRNA from 1 species